ACACCUCAACUCUUUAUGGUUUUCCAUGAUGAGCUUGGACUUUGGGGGUUUUGCUGGCCUACAGGUCAGCUCCUCUAAAAUAAAUCAGCUUGCCAGUGUUUGGUGGGUAUCAUGGGUGUGAUAACUAUCUACGCUCGUGGUUUUCCACCAGAUAACCUUCAGCAGUGGAGGUUCGCUGGAGCUCAUAGAUGUCUCUCCUCAGUGAGGACAGCCCCUUUGAAU
rnacentral:misc_RNA from 1 species